GAUGAACGCUGAGAGAAUGCUUAACACAUGCAAGUCAACUUGAACUUCGGUUUGGGUGGCGGACGGGUGAGUAACGCGUAAAGAACUUGCCUCACAGAUAGGGACAACAUUUGGAAACGAAUGCUAAUACCUGAUAUUAUGAUUAUAUGGCAUCGUAUAAUUAUGAAAGCUAUAUGCGCUGUGAGAGAGCUUUGCGUCCCAUUAGCUAGUUGGAGAGGUAACGGCUCACCAAGGCGAUGAUGGGUAGCCGGCCUGAGAGGGUGAUCGGCCACAAGGGGACUGAGACACGGCCCUUACUCCUACGGGAGGCAGCAGUGGGGAAUAUUGGACAAUGGACCAAGAGUCUGAUCCAGCAAUUCUGUGUGCACGAUGAAGUUUUUCGGAAUGUAAAGUGCUUUCAGUUGGGAAGAAAAAAAUGACGGUACCAACAGAAGAAGUGACGGCUAAAUACGUG
rnacentral:rRNA from 1 species